rnacentral:tRNA from 1 species
AGUGUUGUGGCUUGAAGGUAAAGCGCUCGCCUACCAUGCGUGAGGCACCAGGUUCAAUCCUCAGCACCA